rnacentral:rRNA from 1 species
CGUACACUCCUACGGGAGGCAGCAGUGGGGAAUAUUGGACAAUGGGCGCAAGCCUGAUCCAGCCAUGCCGCGUGAGUGAUGAAGGCCCUAGGGUUGUAAAGCUCUUUCACCGGUGAAGAUAAUGACGGUAACCGGAGAAGAAGCCCCGGCUAACUUCGUGCCAGCAGCCGCGGUAAUACGAAGGGGGCUAGCGUUGUUCGGAUUUACUGGGCGUAAAGCGCACGUAGGCGGACUAUUAAGUCAGGGGUGAAAUCCCGGGGCUCAACCCCGGAACUGCCUUUGAUACUGGUAGUCUUGAGUUCGAGAGAGGUGAGUGGAAUUCCGAGUGUAGAGGUGAAAUUCGUAGAUAUUCGGAGGAACACCAGUGGCGAAGGCGGCUCACUGGCUCGAUACUGACGCUGAGGUGCGAAAGCGUGGGGAGCAAACGGGAUUAGAAACCCCGGUAGUCCCAUG